rnacentral:misc_RNA from 1 species
AGGAUAAUGAAAUUUCGAGGAUCAACAUUGAUUUCGUCGUCGCCUGAGUCGGAAAGAAACGAUGCCACGUUUCGAAUUUCUUGUCUUAUAUUUCCUUCUCCACAAUCAUCAUGUCCUCGCUUCAUCUUCUAAUCAGCUCUAAAGUUUCAGGUUUCUCUUUCUGAUUUUCUAUCUGUCUGUUUGGUUCUCGAGAAAUUCGUGAAAGGGAAGGUAAAGUCAAUACUUUUUUUAUUCUUCUGUUUUAUGCUUGAUUGUUGUAAAAGAAAUGAAUCACUCUGAUUUAGGUUGAGCUUGGUAGUAUAGUAGUAGCUGUGCCAAAGGUAUUGGAUGUGUGUUUUAGUUGUGUUGAAUUCACAAUGUUGCUAGUAUAAAUAUUGGAAGUGAUUUCAGCUUCUUUACAUUCCCGUUGUUUCUUGGGAAUUAAGCAAAGUGUAACUAUGUUUUUCUUUUCAAUCUGCGCGUUGGGUUUUGUUCGCUGUUAUUGUUUAUUUUGAGUCAAUUAUUAACAUUAGUUAUUUGUUCAAAUUUUUUGUGCCAAGCUUUCUUUAGUGUGUGUUUUGAUUGAUGGGUGUUGGUUAUUUUGAGCAAAUGAUUAACGGGUAUGAUUUUUUCCAUUCAAAUUGGUAGAUUUUGUUCAAUGGGGAACACCUCUUCAGUGCUUACUCAAUAUGAUAUAGAAGAGGUUCAACGACACUCUAAUAACCUAUGUAAAUUGUCCUUAUCCUCUUCCCUGUCUAUGGCAUUCCCUUUCUUUCUUGUUAUUUUGUUUUGAGUUCUGAAUUCCAUGGUUUUGGGUUGUCAAACUCAGUCUCCCAGCUAGAGAUAGUGUCCUUGUAUGAAAGAUUUUGCCAGCUUGAUCGGAAUGCGAAAGGAUUUAUCUCAGCCGAUGAGUUCUUAUCAGUGCCCGAGUUUGCAAUGAAUCCGCUCUCCCAGAGGCUACUUAAAAUGGUGGAUGGUUUGAACUUUAAGGACUUUGUGGCAUUCUUGUCUGCAUUUAGUGCUAGAGCAAGUUUGGAACAGAAAGUUGGAUUUAUUUUCAAGGUAUAUGAUUCAGAUGGUAAUGGAAAAGUAUCUUUCAAUGACAUAUUAGAAGUGCUUCAAGAUUUGUCUGGUUCUUUCAUGUCCGAUGAGCAAAGAGAGCAAGUUCUGUGCCAAGUUUUGAAGGAGGCAGGUUACUCAAGGGAAUCUUACUUGAUGUUGGAUGACUUCAUUAAGGUGCUUUCCAUUGUAUUAUCAACUUAUGUAUAUGAAAAACAAUUUUUUUUUCCAUUUCAAAGUAUUAUCAUAAAAUAUGGUGAAAGAAGUGACUUGAACAGAGACAGAUUACAUCUCCAAUGGUACUUUUUUUGUCAAAUCAUUAUUCGCUUUAACUGGUUGAGAGAUAGAAUGUUGGAGAAGAAAUGAGAAUCCACAAGCAGAAAUUGUGCAGCAUUUCUUGUUGUACCUUCACAGGCUAAAAGCCUAAAAGACAAGCUACUGUUGUCCUAUUUAAUUUGCUUAAGGAUCAUGGGAUAAUUCAGGAGGAAUGGAGGAUUUAAGUGACUAAUCCCUUUUUUUUUCGGUUCAUUUGUUUCCUAUUGGGAUUUGAAUUUGAGACCUUACAGUCCUAAAAUAACUCCUGUACUACUGAACUAAAGCUCAUUUGUUGACACUACAAGAUGUUCAGAAAUUCUAUGUUCUCAUUGGAGAUUUGCGAAGUCUUUAAUUUUGUGAGGCAGUUGAAAUCUAUUGGCAGUAUUUGUUGGAUUUCCAGUUAAACUUAAGUACACACAGACUGUUUUAUCUUUAGCAACACAAUAGCAUAGGGCCCAGAACCAUGAUAACAGUUUACAUACCAACCUGCUGGUGAAUUACUUAGGCUGUUUAUUUGAGAGUGAAUUUGCUGAGAGUUAGUUUUGCAUUCUUGAAGAUUACUGGCUAGAUCUUUUUUCUUUAGGUGUUCUUUGCCUGUAUAAUAUUGCAUUAGUUUCUCUAUAAUUGGAAACUUAAACUUUCUCUUUUUCAGGUCAUAUCCUGGCUUUGAAGGAUUAUUGUAAUUCAGAUGAAUGUAUAGUUUAAUGACUGCUUAACAUGCUUCUACUAAUUCCUUUUUGUUCAGAUGUUUUGAAAAUCAUUAUUGAUAUGUUUGUGAUCAUUGCUUUGCACGUGACAGGUUUUUGGCCAUUCUGGCCUAAAAAUGGAGGUUGAAGUUCCAGUUGACUAGAGCUAACCAGGAAGUCCUUCAUACUUAAAUUUGAGAUGAGCGCUUGGAGAAACAACCCUCUAUUGUGCCUAUUGUGAAAUCUUCAAAGUCAAAUUGAAAGCUUAUACACCUGUAUUUGUCUUUAUAUACAAUAAACUUUCAGCUUAUCUGUAAAUGGUUCAUCAUCUCUGGAAUUUUUAGCAUUUGAGAUGUAUGAUUUAGUUGUUGA